rnacentral:rRNA from 1 species
AGUGAACGCUGGCGGUAGGCCUAACACAUGCAAGUCGAACGGCAGCACAGUAAGGGCUUGCUCUUACGGGUGGCGAGUGGCGGACGGGUGAGGAAUACAUCGGAAUCUACUUUUUCGUGGGGGAUAACGUAGGGAAACUUACGCUAAUACCGCAUACGACCUACGGGUGAAAGCAGGGGAUCUUCGGACCUUGCGCGAUUGAAUGAGCCGAUGUCGGAUUAGCUAGUUGGCGGGGUAAAGGCCCACCAAGGCGACGAUCCGUAGCUGGUCUGAGAGGAUAAUCAGCCACACUGGAACUGAGACACGGUCCAGACUCCUACGGGAGGCAGCAGUGGGGAAUAUUGGACAAUGGGCGCAAGCCUGAUCCAGCCAUACCGCGUGGGUGAAGAAGGCCUUCGGGUUGUAAAGCCCUUUUGUUGGGAAAGAAAAGCAGCAGGUUAAUACCCCGCUGUUCUGACGGUGCCCAAAGAAUAAGCACCGGCUAACUUCGUG